GUCAAUUAAAGUGCUGUUUUGUUUUUUUUCAUAGAAGAGCAGGUUGGGAAACCCAGAAAAGCUGUGAUCCAAACACAGCCCCCCUUCCAAAGAAGACGGCCCCCGCGCCCCCUGGAAAUUGGAGCUCCUUUCUACCAAGACAACCAGCUGCAAGUCAAGGUCUACUGGAAAAAGACAGAAGGUAGGCCAGGAGUUUUUGCUUCAUUAUUACUUGUGUUAAAUUGCACAGUGAUAUAAAUAAAUAUAAUUGUUUUUAUAAUAGGGAUUGAACUCAGGGGCCCUCGACCACUGAGCCACCUCCACAGCCCUAUUUGUGUUUUAUUUAAAGACAAGGUCUCACUGAGUUGCUUAGCACCUCACUUUUGCUGAGGCUGGAUUUGAACUCACGAUCCUCCUGCCUCAGCCUCCCAGAUGCUGGGGUUACAGGUGUGCAACACCGUGCCCAGCUAAAUUAAUUUUUAUUAAAAAAAAAGAACCAUGUUACAUAAUUUGGAAAGUAUUACCUCAAUAUCAUUUAUUGGAAUUGCAUGUGGAUUGGUGUUCUUUCAGAAGCUGUGUACGCAUCUGUGUUUCAAUCAGGUGUUUCCGGUGGAUGUGUGCAUAUGUGUGCAUAAAACAUACACAAUUAUUGACACUCAGCAUUGCAUGGGUAUGUGCUAUCACCACACAGUUCUCCUAACAUUUUCAAGUGGCUGCAUCCUAUAUAUACCACCUCACUAUUCCAGCACAGCAAGACAUGGAGGUUCCCAUAUAAUUUCCAAUUUCAUAAUCAAUGCUAUAAUGAACACUUCUCCUUGGGGUAGAUUCUUCUUCUCUGAGCAUUUAUCUUUGGUGUAAAUUUCUUUUGUUUCCUUUACCCUGAGGAUAUUAAUUGUGGCAAGAGUACUUUAGAAUACAUGACAUACAAAAUUUAAAGGCUUCUAUGCAUCUUAAAAACAUAAGCAAAACAGGUGGUUUUUAACUGUUCAGGUUUACAAAUUCUCAUUCUUCUGAAGUCCUCUUUAUUCAGGGCUUUGAUGGUUCAUAAGGAAUAUUGAUGUCAGAGUAAUUUUUUGCUCCAGAAUUUUCUUUCAAGCUGCUGAGAACUAUUCUAUAAACAAAGCAACAUAGCUCUUAUAAUUAAUGUACUUCAUUCCUAGCAUAAGUUAAUUGAAUUUAUAAUUCAUUAAACAUUUAUUAAAUGAUUAUAUAGCAGAAUCACAUAUCCAUAUUAAAAUUAAUUUAUAAAAAUAUAACAUUAAAUUUUAUUUGAUUUAUUGCAUUGAUCAACUGUUAAAUAAAAUUAUAGAAUAAUAUUAAUAUCAACCAUAUUUCUUAAUAAUGCUAAAACUUUCCAGUGCGGUGGUGGUGUGUACCUGUCAUCCCAGCAGCUCAGGAGGCUGAGGCAGGAGGAUCCCAAGUUCAAAGCCAGCCUCAGCAACUUAGCAAGGCCCUGAGCAACUUAGGGAGAAUCUGUCUUAAAAUAAAAAAUAAAAAGGGCUGGGGAGGUGGCUCAGUGGUUGAGUGCCCUUUGGAUUCAAUCUCUGGUGCCAAAUAAAUAAAUGAAUGAAAACGAGUCUUUUUCUAAAGCUCUGUGGUACUAGGUUUGUACCCAAUUAAGCAAACAUAUGCAGGUUACUUUGGGGAAUUUUCAUAUUGUCCUUUGACAUAAUUUUUCAAUUUUGAGACAAUAGCUCACUGUCUUAACCACUGUAGACUUAUUAAUUAGUUUCAUGAGACGUCCUCGGGUUUUUUACUUGUUUUUACAAAUUGUCUCGAGAACUCUUAGCCCUUUGCAUUUUACCAUAACUAUUUGAAUCAAUCCUUCAGUUCCUACACAAACCUUUUGUGCUUUAUAUUAAUGUCGAAAUUCAUCUAUGUAUUCAUGAUUGGAGAAUUCACAUCUUGUUUAAAAAUACUGCCCAGCAUGGUCAUUCAUGCCCAUAAUCCAAGUGGUUUGGGAGGCAGAGGCUGGAGGAUCACAAGUUGGAGGCUAGUCUUAGCAACUUAAGGAGGCCCUACGCAACUCAGCAAGACCCCGUAUCAAAAUAAAAAUUACAAAACAAAACAAAACAGGCUAAUGUUUUGGUUCAGUGUUUAAGUACUCCUGGAUUCAGUCCCCAGUACCAAAUAAAUAAGUAUACAACUGAGGGCUGGGAUAUAGCUCAGUUGAUAGUUUUCCUAGCAUGCAAAGGGUCUUGGAUUCAAUCUCUAGAACCAUGACAGAAAAAUGAUCAAAUAAUAAAAAUACUGAAUCUUACAACCUGUAAGCAUGGUGGUAUAUUCCUUUAUUCAGAUUUUAAAUUUUCCUGUCAAUCCCGUCUCCUGAUAUAUUAUUAUAAAGAGACAAUAAGACCUUUUAUUGUGGUUAUUCCAAGAGUGUGUUCAUUUUGAUCCUGUUAUAGAUGACAUGUGUUUUCUGAGCUUCAUUUUGUCAUGCUUGCUUUUGGUAUUUUAUAACUGCAUUUUUUAUUCAUAUUCUGACUCUGAAUCCAGAAAUACUGUUACGUUGAUAUUCUCCGUAUUUAUUUCUAACCUUGGAUCAUUUAAACUAUCAUUUUCUCAAAUCUGUGAAUCAAUCAUUUAAAACAUACAGGCGAGAAAUUCUGUCUGUAUUCAUCAGCCAACAUCGGGGUGCACAGUGGUAUCGAAUUUGACAUUACAACAUAUGAUAUAACCGUUGGGCAAUAAGAGACCACAUCCAAAAACAAGGAAGUGGCAUGGAUUUUAAAACCAAUGUCCUUGUGGCUUGUGUUUAGCAGCUUGGACAUGAUAGUUGGGUUGUAAGCCGGAGUGCUAAGUGAGAAAGUCUACUCAACACUGAAUUUGUGGGAUGGCGUAUCAUCUUUAACCAAAUACUUCUCUCAGCUGAUGUUGUCUGUGAUUUUAGGCUCCUGGGGGCAUAGCUCAUUUUUGCUGUGUGGUAACAGAACAGGCACUUGGUGUCGGCCUUCCGGCUCUGGACUUGGGGUUUUUACAGCAUAAAUAGGAAAAAUGAGCUCAGAGAGAAAGGGGACUUCAUGCUGCCGUUUUAAGCAGAGGUGCCUAGCAGGGGUCUCCAAAUGGUUAUAUGGGUUGUAUGAGAACCAGAAAGUGCCGUCCCACCAAGGUUAUGUCCAUCUACCACCCUGGGCAAGGACUCUACCACCUACCAGGCACCAUUUCCAGGGUCUGAAACACUGCAACCAGAAACAGAAAGUAAUCUCUACCUCAAUGCAGUUGACUUUCUAUAGUGCCCUACCAAACGUAUGUCCCCUCUUGCUGCAGCUGUGACCUCUGGUUCCCAGGAUGGCUGUUGUCCUCGGGUACCCCAAGAUGCACUCUGAUUCUCAGAGAUGCAAUGUCAAGAAACCCAAGGUGCCUGAUCAUGAGCCUUUCAUGAACGUGGGCGUUUGCAAUCAACGGGAAAUUUUAGCUCCCUUCAUUUACGCUGUGGACGGCGAGUUCGACGUCUUUGAGAAACAGAUUGAACGCAUCUCAUGUUUGGGGCAUAUUGAAAGUAAAUUCCCAAAUUUAAAAAUACUUUUUCGAGGAUUUCUACCUGAUGCUAUUGGUUUGUGGAAGGAAGGAAUGGAGUUCAGAAGUAGAUUAAUUGGGCAGUCACGAUAGAAUUUUCAUGUACAGUUGUACCCUGGUGUCUGCAGGAGAUCGGUUCCUAAUUCCCUGUGGAUAUUCACGUGCUUGAUAUAGAAUUAUUAUAUUUGUAUAUAAAUUAUACACCUUCUUCGGUAUGCUUUAUAUCAUCUCUAAGCAACUUGUAAUACCUAAUACAAUGUAAACACUAUGUAAAAACUAUUUACAUACAACUGUUAUACUCUUUUCAUUUGUAUUACUUUUUACUUUUUAUAACAACUGUUUUAUACUCUUUUCAUUUGUAUUACUUUUUACCAAUGUAUUGCUAUUUUUUCCCAAUAUUUCCUAUUCAUUGUCUGCUUGAACAAUGUUGUGUUUAAUAUUCUGGGUACAGGUCAAUCUCUGCACUCAACAUCUAAAGUGUGAGCUCUUAAGAUCUCAAUAACUUGGAAGAGGAAGGUAGAGACAUUUUCUGUAAAUGACUAUUGCGGGAGUGAGGGUCUCCAAACUGAUUCUUUUUAGUUCAGCUCAAAAAACAUAAACAAGUGUGAGUGUUGCAGUUUGCCUUUUAUUUUUUAUUUUAUGCAGUUAUCUAUGUUUUGUGGUGUUGGCCUAUGAAACCAGGACCUCCCACGUCCUAGGCAAGUCCUCUACCACUGAGCUUCAAAGGCUGACCCUGGUUUGUCUUUUUAAAAGAAAUCUCCUCAAAUUGGCCUCUUGGAGCACCGUUUGAAAUCAUGGAGGAGGCUGGGCACAGUGGCACACACCUAUAAUCCCAGUGACUCAGGAGGCUGAGGCAGGAGGACCACAAGUUCAAGGCCAGCCUCAGCCUCAGCCACUUAGCAGGCCCCUAAGCAGCUUAGCAAGACCCUAUCUCAAAAUUGAAAAUAAAAAAGGGCUGGGAAUGUGGCUCAGUGGUUAAGCACCCCUGGAUUCAAUCCUCAGUACCCAAAUUAAAAUUCUUUAAAAAAUUAAAAAUAAAAUUAUUGAGGACAUUUAAAAUCUGAGCUUAUUUAGCAUUUCCUGUUCCCAGAUUGCUUUUACCUCCCUAGUGCAAUGUGGUGUCCUCGAGCUCACUGUUUUUCUUUCCUGUGUUAGAUUAUGAGUGAGUGAGCACUCAUUUGCUUGUCAUUUGAUAAAUGUUUGCUGAGUAUAUCCCUAUCUUGUAAGGUGGUCAUGUUUGAGCACCCAAAAGUGACACCCAGUGGGUGCCAUCUUGGAGUUCAUGCAGCUGUAGCCAAAUGGGGUCUCAGGAUGAGUCCAACAGUCCCAGGAACAAACCACCCGACAACCUGAGGGGACGCUACAUGAGAGGGCCCUGCCUAGGCAGCCGUGAAUGUCACGAGGCGAGACCUGGAAGGCCGGGUGGCCUACCAUGUCUCUUCUGAAGUCAAAGGAAAGCCAUUCAGUCACUUAAAGAUGGAGGAAGGUCACCAUAACCCUCCGGAAACUCGAGAAGACAUGAAGACUCAUUCUCCCCUGGAGCCUCCGGAGGAGCACAGCCAUCCAGCACCUUGAUUUGAGCCCAGAGGAAGCCCUUCCAGCCGUCCAUCUGCCCAAGAAAACCCGUCCCUGGUGUUCGAAGCAACCACAGGUGGCGUCUGUCUGGCCACAGGGGCUUCGCACAUUGCUGGUCUUCAAACACCUGCCCAGCCCCUGGCCCUGCCCUUGUUUGCAUCCUUAGUUACAGAGAAAGGGCAGAGGCUCAGUGAGUUUGGGGGACGAGUUUCCCGACACCCAUGUUGUGCUCAAGGUUACCUCCUGCACCCCGAGUGCAGUGUGGGUGAUUUAGGGGCAGAGAUCAAGUGUGCAGAGUUGGGGACACUGAGUGUGGGUGUCCCCAUUCCUUGCUCCAGUGUGAGCCACCAUAUGUAAAGUGCUAGCCUGUGGUCAAUAUGCCCUACCACCCCAGUGUCUGUAAUUAUCUGUAGACCUAUGAUCUUCUAACUGAACAUACAUCUUUUUUUUGUUGUUGUUUUGGUACCAGGGAUUGAACCCAGGGGUACUUAACCACUGAGCCUCAUCCCCAACCCUUUUUUAUAUUUUAUUCAGAGAUAGCAUCUUGCUGAGUUGCGGAGGCUGGCUUUGAACUCAUGAUCCUCCUGCCUCAGCCUUCCAAGCUGCCUAACAUGUAUUUUACUGGUGUAUUUUGUUCAUUAUUAUUAGCCUAGUUCCAUCCAUUUGCAGGAUGCAGGAGAGCGGCCCUUUCUAUGUGGUCCAUUACUCAUGGAUUGACUUCAUCCUUACGUAUAAUGCAGAAUUCUUCUUUUUUUUUUUAAAGGGGCCUUGAUGUCUGCCAUGUAAGCAUGAGAGCCCCUUCGUAAGCCAUUUCCUUUUGAACUCAAUGUCACGGGUGCCCACUUUAUAUCUGUUUAUUCUCUCUUAUUUCAAUAGCUUCUUGUCUGCUUCCAAGUUGCUCAAAACCAGUUCCCACCAGAUCAACCCAAUUUCUUCAAAGAGAUUCCUUCCCAUCUGAAAACCCUCAGCAAACGCUUGGCGUGAAUGUUCCAGAUGAGAGGUUAAUCAGGGGCAGAGCCUGGCCUUUCACACCCCGGGGCACAUUGGGGUGACUAAUAAUGUUGCACUGAGUCAUUGCUGUAUUUCUCUGCCGUGCUUAAAUUUCAACACAGGUUUAUUCUCCAUAUUCACUAAAUAAUCAGGAUUUCUACUGAAUCUGCAUACCGCCUUUGACUAUGCAUUUUUUUAUGCGUGCCUGUAGAAUUUUAUUUUCUGUCUUCCUGCUCUCUCAGUUUUUUUUUGGGGGGGGUGGGUACUGAAGAUUGAACUCAGGGGCACUCGACCACUGAGCCCCAUCCCCAGCCCUAUUUUGUAUUUUAUUUAGAGACAGGGUCUCCCUGAGUUGCUUAGGGCCUCACUUUGGCGGAGGCUGGCUUUGAACUCCUGAUCCUCCUGCCUCAGCCUCCCGAGCUGCUGGGAUUACAGGCGUGUGCCACUGUGCCGGGCUCAGUUCUCUCAGUUUUAAGAACAUCAGGCUACAUGGUACUCUAGCUUGGACCUAGAAUGUCCCUCAGGGCCCAUGUGUUGAAGAUUUGGUCCCUAACUUGGCUGGGAGGUGACGGAGCCUUUGUAAGAGGUGGAGCCUAGUGGAAGGUCUUUUGGUUGUUGGGGACAUGUCUCCAAGGAAUCUGAGGGACCUUGGCCUCUUCCUCUUCUUCUCUUUUCACUCCCUGACCAUGCGGGGAGCAGGUUGGCUCAGCCUGUUGUCCCCACCAUGGUGAGCUGCUUUCUCGGAUGCUUGAAAGCAAUGUGUCUGCCCAAGAGUGAUCAUAAACCUUUUCUCUCUAUAAGUUGAUUCUGUCAGGUAUUUGUGACAGUCAUGGCAUGCUGACUCACACAUGUGGAACGUGACUACCAGGCUGUUUCUUUUGUGUUUUUUGACACCACAGAUCCCAGCAUCAAUAGAUACCAUGUGCAGUGGUUUCCAGAGGUGUGUGCUCACAACAAAACGGCCGGAUCGGAGACAUCAUCUGCUGUGACCCACGUAAGGAGGCGACUGUACUCGUUGGCUCUGUG
rnacentral:lncRNA from 1 species